rnacentral:rRNA from 1 species
UACGUAAGGUCCGAGCGUUGUCCGGAAUCAUUGGGCGUAAAGGGUACGUAGGCGGAUAAGCAAGUUAGAAGUGAAAUCCUAUAGCUCAACUAUAGUAAGCUUUUAAAACUGCUCAUCUUGAGGUAUGGAGGGGAAAGUGGAACUCCUAGUGUAGUGGUGAAAAGCGCAGAUAUUAGGAGGAAUACCGGUGGCGAAGGCGACUUUCUGGCCAUUUUUUGACGCUGAGGUACGAAAGCGUGGGUAGCAAACAGG